rnacentral:ribozyme from 1 species
CAGAACAAGCUGAAAAGAGACCAAGGAAGGAAGGAAGGAAAAAGAAAAAGGAAGGAAUAGGGAGGGGGAGAGGAAGGAAAGAAAAAACAACAGGCUGGUUCUUCUUGUUCUUCUUGUUCUUCUUGUUCUUCU